rnacentral:rRNA from 1 species
UACGUAGGGUGCAAGCGUUGUCCGGAAUUAUUGGGCGUAAAGCGCGUGUAGGCGGUCCGGUAAGUCCGCUGUGAAAGUCGGGGGCUCAACCCUCGAAUGCCGGUGGAUACUGUCGGGCUAGAGUGCGGAAGAGGCGAGUGGAAUUCCUGGUGUAGCGGUGAAAUGCGCAGAUAUCAGGAGGAACACCGGUGGCGAAGGCGGGUCUCUGGGCCGUAACUGACGCUGAGGAGCGAAAGCGUGGGGAGCGAACAGG